CACCAGGUCAGGACACGGUAAGGAUUGACGGACUGAAGGCUCUUUCUCGAUUCCGUGGAAAGUGGUGCAUGGCCGUUUUUGGUUGGUGGAUCGAUCCGUCUGGUUAAUUCCGUUAACGAACGAGACCUCGGCACUCCGAAUAGCGCGGCGGACGUCGCGGCCUCCGGGCCGUCUUCCGUACGAGCUUCUUAGAGGGACCGUCCCCCGCCGGGGAAGGAGGUGCGAGGCAACGACAGGUCUGUGAUGCCCUUAGAUGUUCUGGGCCGCACGCGCAUUACACUGACGCGUCCAACGGGUGACUCCCGACCCGAAGGGGCCGGGGAAUCCGCAAGGCGCGUCGUGAUGGGGAUUGAACGUUGCAAUUGUUGUUCACGAACGAGGAAUUCCUAGUAGGCGCGGGUCAUCAACCCGCGCCGAUUACGUCCCUGCCCUUUGUACACACU
rnacentral:rRNA from 1 species